rnacentral:rRNA from 1 species
UACGGAGGAUGCAAGCGUUAUCCGGAAUGAUUGGGCGUAAAGGGUCCGCAGGUGGCAAUGUGUGUCUGCUGUCAAAGAAUGAGGCUUAACCUCAUCAAGGCAGUGGAAACUACAUAGCUAGAGUACGGUCGGGGUAGAAGGAAUUCCUGGUGUAGCGGUGAAAUGCGUAGAGAUCAGGAAGAACACCGGUGGCGAAAGCGUUCUGCUAGACCUGUACUGACACUGAGGGACGAAAGCUAGGAGAGCGAAUGGG